rnacentral:rRNA from 1 species
CUUGGGACCGGCAUAACCCCGGGAAACUGGGGAUAAUUCCGGAUACUGCAUAUAUGCUGGAAUGCUUUAUGCAUAAAAUGGAUUCGUCUGCCCAAGGAUGGGUCUGCGGCCUAUCAGGUAGUAGUGGGUGUAAUGUACCUACUAGCCAACGACGGGUACGGGUUGUGAGAGCAAGAGCCCGGAGAUGGAUUCUGAGACAUGAAUCCAGGCCCUACGGGGCGCAGCAGGCGCGAAAACUUUACAAUGCGGGAAACCGUGAUAAGGGGACACCGGGUGCCAGCAUCAUAUGCUGGCUGUCCGGGUGUGUAAACUACACCUGUUAGCAAGGGCCGGGCAAGACCGGUGCCAGCCGCCGCGGUAACACCGGCGGCCCGAGUGGUGAUCGUGAUUAUUGGGUCUAAAGGGUCCGUAGCCGGUUUGGUCAGUCCUCCGGGAAAUCUGACGGCUUAACCGUUAGGCUUUCGGGGGAUACUGCCAGGCUUGGAACCGGGAGAGGUAAGAGGUACUACAGGGGUAGGAGUGAAAUCUUGUAAUCCCUGUGGGACCACCUGUGGCGAAGGCGUCUUACCAGAACGGGUUCGACGGUGAGGGACGAAAGCUGGGGGCACGAACCGGAUUAGAUACCCGGGUAGUCCCAGCCGUAAACGAUGCUCGCUAGGUGUCAGGCAUGGCGCGACCGUGUCUGGUGCCGCAGGGAAGCCGUGAAGCGAGCCACCUGGGAAGUACGGCCGCAAGGCUGAAACUUAAAGGAAUUGGCGGGGGAGCACAACAACGGGUGGAGCCUGCGGUUUAAUUGGACUCAACGCCGGACAACUCACCGGGGGCGACAGCAAUAUGUAGGCCAAGCUGAAGACUUUGCCUGAAUCGCUGAGAGGUGGUGCAUGG